GAGUGCUUGACUGAUCCAUGCAUUUAAAAUACACCUUUUAUACUGCAGGAAGAUUUUAAUGAUGUUGUCAUACAGUAGAUGUGUUUAUAUCAGUUUUAUAUCCACAGUCUGGCUGUCAGUCAGUCCACCACUUUGGUCCUGAAAACUAAAAUACUGAAACAACUACUCGACUGAUUGCCACAAAAUUCUGUACAGACAUUCAUGGACCCCUGAGGAAGAACCCUGAAGACUUUGGUGAUCCACUUACGUUUUCCACUAGUGCACCAACAGAUAUCGAUAGUCAAAGUUGGGGAAGGGGGACGGCGCGGGGAAGGUUCCAGAUUUCCACAACUUCCAGAUGUUGAGCCCGGCCACACCCAGCAGCACGAAGAAACCCACCAGCCCGUUGGCAUCUUCCUCCUCAUCCUCUUCCUCCUCUUCACCUUCUUCUUCUUCCCAGGGCAGCAGGCGGGCGGGAACAUCAGCCAGGAAAUGUCCACAGUCCUGCUGGAUGUUGAAGUGCACAGCCAGGCUCUGUCUC